rnacentral:lncRNA from 1 species
AAGGCAAUAGUAGAAAAAAUCUUUAUUCCAUUGAAAUAAGACCACAUGCCACAAUUACAUUCAAACAAACUAGACACACCCAAAAUAUAUCAAUCACCAUUACAAACACAAAAUACAUCAGCUAAGACAUAAAAUACACCAGCUACUCCAACCACCAGCAAAACCACAACAACUUCAACGAUCAACGACACAGUAGCAAACCCAAAUAGUUAGCAUUAUUACUACAAUAGAAGCCAAUUUCUUCCUCCAUGUUCUUGCUCGAGCCCUUUCUUCUUCAAAAGCUUUGACCAUAUUCAGUAAACCCUAUAUAACCCUAUUCGCUUGGUUAGAAAAGUCAUCGUCAACCUACCUAAAAUAAUUACAUCCACCUUCGCCUUCAAAAAAAAUUAAUCAAACUAAAAUCGGGAAUAACAUAGUAAAAAUAGUUAAUUAUAACUUACCUUUUCAAUUUGUAUUCAUAGAACCUCCUUCCAGGAUUAGAUGGAGACCAUAAAGUUUUCAAUUGACAUUCAUGAUCAUACCGGCAUGAAUCAACUCUUGGUGGGAGAGACAUAAUUGAGAGGUUAAGCCAAGAUUCGAACACAAGCGGUGAGACUACUUUCAAUUUGGAGAGACGAAAAGAAUUUUUAAACCAGAAAAUCAAGAAAUAGGGUUGGAUUUAAGGGAAGGGUGAAGAACUAGGGCUUGUAAAAGGGGAUAGAGUUUAAUUAUAUAAUAGAAAAAGGGUGUAUUUUACCCUUUGUAUUGUACCGUUGAAAUUUUUUUGUCAACAAAUUUUUACUAUUCACACAUUCAAAAGCAGUGAUAUUCAUGUUAUUUGCCAUGUCAUUAG